rnacentral:rRNA from 1 species
GAUGAACGCUGACAGAAUGCUUAACACAUGCAAGUCAACUUGAAUUUGGGUUUUUAACUUAGAUUUGGGUGGCGGACGGGUGAGUAACGCGUAAAGAACUUGCCUCACAGCUAGGGACAACAUUUAGAAAUGAAUGCUAAUACCUGAUAUUAUGAUUUUAAGGCAUCUUAGAAUUAUGAAAGCUAUAAGCACUGUGAGAGAGCUUUGCGUCCCAUUAGCUAGUUGGAGAGGUAACAGCUCACCAAGGCGAUGAUGGGUAGCCGGCCUGAGAGGGUGAACGGCCACAAGGGGACUGAGACACGGCCCUUACUCCUACGGGAGGCAGCAGUGGGGAAUAUUGGACAAUGGACCGAGAGUCUGAUCCAGCAAUUCUGUGUGCACGAUGAAGUUUUUCGGAAUGUAAAGUGCUUUCAGUUGGGAAGAAAAAAAUGACGGUACCAACAGAAGAAGUGACGGCUAAAUACGUGCCAGCAGCCGCGGUAAUACGUAUGUCACGAGCGUUAUCCGGAUUUAUUGGGCGUAAAGCGCGUCUAGGUGGUUAUGUAAGUCUGAUGUGAAAAUGCAGGGCUCAACUCUGUAUUGCGUUGGAAACUGUAUAACUAGAGUACUGGAGAGGUAAGCGGAACUACAAGUGUAGAGGUGAAAUUCGUAGAUAUUUGUAGGAAUGCCGAUGGGGAAGCCAGCUUACUGGACAGAUACUGACGCUAAAGCGCGAAAGCGUGGGUAGCAAGCAGG